GGCCUGGCUAGGCGGUUUAGCCGCAAGGUUAGUACUGCUUUGGCUGGGUCUUUCCUUCUGGGGAACUAAUGUGCUCUUUACUGAGUGCGCUAGGGAUCCAGGACUGUUACUUUGAAAAAAUUAGAGUGUUCAAAACAGGCUUAUGCUUGAAUACAUUAGCAUGGAAUAACGGAAUAGGACUUUGUUUCUAUUUUGUUGGUUUGCAGGAACAAAGUA
rnacentral:rRNA from 1 species